rnacentral:rRNA from 1 species
GAUGAACGCUGGCGGCGUGCCUAAUACAUGCAAGUCGAGCGAACAGACGAGGAGCUUGCUCCUUUGACGUUAGCGGCGGACGGGUGAGUAACACGUGGGUAACCUACCUAUAAGACUGGGAUAACUUCGGGAAACCGGAGCUAAUACCGGAUAAUAAUUCUAACCGCAUGGUUCGAUAGUGAAAGAUGGCUUUGCUAUCACUUAUAGAUGGACCUGCGCCGUAUUAGCUAGUUGGUAAGGUAACGGCUUACCAAGGCAACGAUACGUAGCCGACCUGGGAGGGUGAUCGGCCACACUGGAACUGAGACACGGUCCAGACUCCUACGGGAGGCAGCAGUAGGGAAUCUUCCGCAAUGGGCGAAAGCCUGACGGAGCAACGCCGCGUGAGUGAUGAAGGUCUUCGGAUCGUAAAACUCUGUUAUUAGGGAGGAACAAACGUGUAAGUAACUGUGCACGUCUUGACGGUACCUAAUCAGAAAGCCACGGCUAACUACGUG